GAUGAACGCUAGCUACAGGCUUAACACAUGCAAGUCGAGGGGCAGCAUGGUCUUAGCUUGCUAAGGCCGAUGGCGACCGGCGCACGGGUGAGUAACGCGUAUCCAACCUGCCUUACACUCUUGGACAGCCUUCUGAAAGGGAGAUUAAUACAAGAUGUUAUCAUGAGUAAGCAUUUUCGCAUGAUUAAAGGUUUACCGGUGUAAGAUGGGGAUGCGUUCCAUUAGAUAGUAGGCGGGGUAACGGCCCACCUAGUCUUCGAUGGAUAGGGGUUCUGAGAGGAAGGUCCCCCACAUUGGAACUGAGACACGGUCCAAACUCCUACGGGAGGCAGCAGUGAGGAAUAUUGGUCAAUGGACGAGAGUCUGAACCAGCCAAGUAGCGUGAAGGAUGAAGGUUCUAUGGAUUGUAAACUUCUUUUAUACGGGAAUAAACGAAUCCACGUGUGGAUUUUUGCAUGUACCGUAUGAAUAAGGAUCGGCUAACUCCGUGCCAGCAGCCGCGGUAAUACGGAGGAUCCGAGCGUUAUCCGGAUUUAUUGGGUUUAAAGGGAGCGUAGAUGGAUGUUUAAGUCAGUUGUGAAAGUUUGCGGCUCAACCGUAAAAUUGCAAUUGAUACUGGCAGUCUUGAGUACAGUUGAGGUAGGCGGAAUUCGUGGUGUAGCGGUGAAAUGCUUAGAUAUCACGAAGAACUCCGAUUGCGAAGGCAGCUUACUAACCUGUAACUGACAUUGAUGCUCGAAAGUGUGGGUAUCANACAGG
rnacentral:rRNA from 1 species